CCUACGGGUGGCAGCAGUGAGGAAUAUUGGUCAAUGGCCGUAAGGCUGAACCAGCCAAGUCGCGUGAAGGAAGAAGGAUCUAUGGUUUGUAAACUUCUUUUAUAGGGGAAUAAAGGUAUCCACGUGUGGCUAUUUGCAUGUACCCUAUGAAUAAGGAUCGGCUAACUCCGUGCCAGCAGCCGCGGUAAUACGGAGGAUGCGAGCGUUAUCCGGAUUUAUUUGGUUUAAAGGGUGCGUAGGUUGUUUUUUAAGUCAGCGGUGAAAGUUUGUGGCUCAAGCAUAAAAUGGCCGUUGAAACUGGAAGACUUGAGUGUGUUUGAGGUAGGCGGAAUGCGUGGUGUAGCGGUGAAAUGCAUAGAUAUCACGCAGAACUCCGAUUGCGAAGGCAGCUUACUAAGCCAUAACUGACACUGAAGCACGAAAGCGUGGGGAUCAAACAGGAUUAGAUACCCGUGUAGUC
rnacentral:rRNA from 1 species